GCAUUGCAUAUACUAACGGAUGCGAUCAUACCAGCACUAAUGCACCGGAUCCCAUCAGAACUCCGCAGUCAAGCGUGCUUGGGCGAGAGUAGUACUAGGAUGGGUGACCUCCCGGGAAGUCCU
rnacentral:rRNA from 1 species